UCCUACGGGGCGCAGCAGUGGAAUAUUGCGCAAUGGACGAAAGUCUGACGCAGCGACGCCGCGUGAGGGAUGAAGGUUUUCGGAUCGUAAACCUCUGUCAGGAGGGAAGAAAGCGCAUGGCGCCAAUCAGCCAUGCAUUGACGGUACCUCCAAAGGAAGCGCCGGCUAACUCCGUGCCAGCAGCCGCGGUAAUACGGAGGGCGCGAGCGUUAAUCGGAAUUACUGGGCGUAAAGCGCGCGUAGGCUGUUGUGUAAGUUGGGGGUGAAAUCCCACGGCUCAACCGUGGAACAGCCCUUGAUACUGC
rnacentral:rRNA from 1 species